rnacentral:rRNA from 1 species
UACAGAGGUCCCAAGCGUUGUUCGGAUUUACUGGGCGUAAAGGGUGCGUAGGCGGUCUUUUAAGUCUGAUGUGAAAUCUCCGGGCUUAACCCGGAAAGGUCAGCCGAUACUGCGGGGCUAGAGUGCAGAAGGGGCAACUGGAAUUCUCGGUGUAGCGGUGAAAUGCGUAGAUAUCGAGAGGAACACCUGCGGCGAAGGCGGGUUGCUGGGCUGACACUGACGCUGAGGCGCGAAAGCUAGGGGAGCGAACGGG